rnacentral:rRNA from 1 species
CCCUUUGGGAAAAACCAAAACGUCNUUGGUAAAUGCUUUCGCAGUAGUUAGUCUUCAGUAAAUCCAAGAAUUUCACCUCUGACAACUGAAUACUGAUACCCCCGACCGUCCCUAUUAAUCAUUACGAUGGUCCUAGAAACCAACAAAAUAGAACCAUAACGUCCUAUUCUAUUAUUCCAUGCUAAUAUAUUCGAGCAAAGGCCUGCUUUGAACACUCUAAUUUUUUCAAAGUAAAAGUCCUGGUUCGCCAAAAGGCUAGCCANAAGGAAAGGCUCGGUUGGGUCCAGUACGCAUCANAAAGAUGGACCGGCCAACCAAGCCCAAGGUUCAACUACGAGCUUUUUAACUGCAACAACUUUAAUAUACGCUUUUGGAGCUGGAAUUACCGCGGCUGCUGGCACCAGACUUGCCCUCCAAUUGUUCCUCGUUAAGGUAUUUACAUUGUACUCAUUCCAAUUACAAGACCCGAAAGGGCCCUGUAUCGUUAUUUAUUGUCACUACCUCCCCGUGUCGGGAUUGGGUAAUUUGCGCGCCUGCUGCCUUCCUUGGAUGUGGUAGCCGUUUCUCAGGCUCCCUCUCCGGAAUCGAACCCUUAUUCCCCGUUACCCGUUGAAACCAUGGNAGGCCACUAUCCUACCCAUUGGG